rnacentral:lncRNA from 1 species
UGCAGACUCUCAAACUCAUGCUCCGGGGUGACCCGAGGCCUGGCGCGCACGCCCUUGUACACACACACGGGUGGUAGCUGAGAGUUACGCCUAAGCCCUGCUCAGUAUCACCUUGUCUGGAAGAGUCCUGCUGGCAACUGAAGGGCUCACGCAAGGACACUGGACCUUGCACCCACUCUGAUGUCUGCCUGGCAUGGAGGUGGGCCCUCAGUGGCUGUCUGUCUGGACUUGUUUGUUUUGAAUGACUGAUCAUUGGGUGAUGAAGAGAAAGGUUCUGGAAAUGAAUGUGACUUCUUCCUGCAAAAUCUCACCGCUGAAGGGUCUGCCCCACAGCCAUGCAUCCAGUCUUCGGGACAGCUCAGAGAAGAAGCAUGAUUGUGUCCACAAUACAGAUGUGAAAACAGAAGCCUGGGAACCAACUCAGCACCACAGCACAGAGGUCCUCUGUCCUUUUCUUUACAUCCCAAGAAGUGCUGUCUCCAACAUGGUAGAGACGGUGACCUGCAAUAGGACACACCUCCAGCUUCACAGCCCUCCCGGCAGAUGGGCAAGACAGAGCCUGCAAUCAGGCUCCAGUGCGGAAGAUCACAUUGUGUAGAAGAUUCCUGGCCCCUUUUAAAACCUCCCACCAGAAUCCUAGAGCCAGAGGGGCAACAAGCAAAGGUGGAAAGUGCUGUGUGCACUAAACUGCAUGCCAAUCAGGUAGCUCAGCUGCAAGCAGCUAGAGCUAAUUCUGAUCAUUAAAGCAGAACAGAAAU